GGGGACCCGCAAGCGGUGGAGCAUGUGGUUUAAUUCGAUGCAACGCGAAAAACCUUACCAAUCCUUGACAUGGAGAUUACAGCCACUUGAAGAAGUGGCCUCGGUUCGGCCGGAUCUCACACAGGUGUUGCAUGGCUGUCGUCAGCUCGUGUCGUGAGAUGUUGGGUUAAGUCCCGCAACGAGCGCAACCCUCAUCCUUAAUUGCCAUCAGGUCAUGCUGGGAACUUUAGGGAAACUGCCAGUGAUAAACUGGAGGAAGGUGGGGAUGAUGUCAAGUCAUCAUGGCCCUUAUGGAUUGGGCUACACACGUGCUACAAUGGUGAUUACAAUGGGCUGCAAAGCCGCAAGGCUGAGCUAAACCUCAAAAAUCAUCUCAGUUCGGAUUGUUCUCUGCAACUCGAGAGCAUGAAGUUGGAAUCGCUAGUAAUCGUGGAUCAGCACGCCACGGUGAAUACGUUCUCGGGUCUUGUACACACU
rnacentral:rRNA from 1 species